UUGCUUUUUAUAAAUACUCUGCCUUUUGUGUUUCAGAUGGAGAAUGUUGUGAUUGCAGUAGUUUCGGUGCUGUAGUCAUUGGGACAGUCAUCGCCAUUAUUGUAGUUCUGAUCUUGGUUUCGGUGGUCCUGUUUGUUCUGCACAGAAGAGGGACAAUUGUGAUUCCUGGCUUGAGAACUACAGAUGAUGAAAGCAGAACCUCAUCAGACUCUGGUAAAGGCAGCCAGAACGAAGGGUCCUCAAACAUAGGCAGUGAGGAGGACGUUAAGAAGUCAAUGCUGGCUAAGGGAAGUGGCUAGAUGACCGUUGGUGGCCAAAGUUCCUGACCGGASCAUGAAGGACAGUCAAUUCAUUUCAUAAUUUUAUAGUAUGGCUACGGCUGUUUCGGUGUGGCCACGCGUCAUGACGGCAGUCAAAUUCCACAUGAACGUUUAGUCACGCUAAUUAGACUUCUCCAAGCUCUGAUGCUGCUGAUGGUCAUUAGUAGCCUACCAUACUGGCUAACUCUAUUGUCCCUUUAAUCACUCUGCGAUCAAUGCAAAUGUAAUCAAAAAUCUAAUUAAACACUUCAUGAGAGCCAAUGAGGUCAUGUUGCUCAACAUUUCUAUAGGCUAUGCAAUUGCGUGAGAAAACAGAAUGAUGGUCAUUAUUAAAAAUAGAAUUCCAUCAGCUUUCCAUAUGCUAGGCCUACUAUAUUUUAUUUGUCAACUAUCCUAGUAUUAAGCACAUUGCUUCUCUUUAAAACAGGAGUAUAGUCUACUGACGUAUUUAUUUCAGCUGUCCCUGUUUCCAUACAGGUGCAUGAUAAUGGUCCUUUCUAAAUCAAAACAAAUUUCACACAUAUGUUAUUUAGUAUAUGUACAGACAAGAUUAAAUCAAGAAUACUGUGAUGGGUUACAAUAGUAGCCUGUCACUUGAAUGAUAUACAGUGGCUUGCGAAAGUAUUCACCCCCUUGACAUUAUUCCUAUUUUGUUGCCUGGACAAACAUGGGAAU